UACGUAGGGGCCGAGCGUUGUCCGGAGUUAUUGGGCGUAAAGCGCGCGCAGGCGGCCUCGCGCGCCCGACGUGAAAGCCCCCGGCUUAACCGGGGAGAGUCGUUGGGGACGGCGGGGCUUGAGGGCGGGAGAGGUCGGUGGAAUUCCCGGUGUAGUGGUGAAAUGCGCAGAUAUCAGGAGGAACACCGGUGGCGAAGGCGGGUCUCUGGGCCGAUACUGACGCUGAGGAGCGAAAGCGUGGGGAGCGAACAGG
rnacentral:rRNA from 1 species